rnacentral:rRNA from 1 species
GACAUCGAGACAGUUGUUAAAGCGGGGGAUCGCAAGACCUCGCGCCUAAAGAGAAGCNUGCGGCAGAUNAGCUAGUUGGUAGGGUAAUGGCCUACCAAGGCGACGAUCUGUAACCGGCCUGAGAGGGCGGUCGGUCACACUGACACUGACAUACGGGUCAGACUCCUACGGGAGGCAGCAGUCGGGAAUUUUGGGCAAUGGGCGAAAGCCUGACCCAGCAACGCCGCGUGAAGGAUGAAAUCCCUCGGGAUGUAAACUUCGCAAGAAUGGGAAGAAUAAGUAGGGGACAAUACCCCCUAUGAUGACGGUACCAUUUGUAAGCUCCGGCUAACUUCGUGCCAGCAGCCGCGGUAAUACGAGGGGAGCAAGCGUUGUUCGGAUUUACUGGGCGUAAAGGGCGCGUAGGCGGUCGUGACAAGUCACUUGUGAAAUCUCCGGGCUUAACUCGGAACGGUCAAGUGAUACUGUCGGACUAGAGUACAGAAGGGGCAACUGGAAUUCUCGGUGUAGCGGUGAAAUGCGUAGAUAUCGAGAGGAACACCUGCGGCGAAGGCGGGUUGCUGGGCUGAUACUGACGCUGAGGCGCGAAAGCCAGGGGAGCGAACGGGAUUAGAUACCCCGGUAGUCCUGGCCUUAAACGAUGAAUGCUUGGUGUCUCGGGUUACAUAGUCCCGGGGUGCCGUCGCUAACGCUUUUAGCAUUCCGCCUGGGGAGUACGGUCGCAAGACUGAAACUCAAAGGAAUUGACGGAAUCGA